UACGAAGGGUGCAAGCGUUGCUCGGAAUUAUUGGGCGUAAAGGGUUGGUAGGUGGUCUUGUUUGUCUAAGGUGAAAUCCCAUGGCUUAACUGUGGAAGUGCCUUAGAAACGGCAAGACUAGAGUCCUAGAGGGGUUUGUGGAAUUCCCGGUGUAGCGGUGGAAUGCGUAGAGAUCCGGAAGAACACCGGUGGCGAAGGCGAUCAUCUGGGGUUGUUCUGACGCUGAGGAGCGAAAGCUAGGGGAGCAAACGGGG
rnacentral:rRNA from 1 species